rnacentral:rRNA from 1 species
UACGUAGGGUGCAAGCGUUGUCCGGAAUUAUUGGGCGUAAAGAGCUCGUAGGCGGUUUGUCGCGUCUGCUGUGAAAACCCGAGGCUCAACCUCGGGCCUGCAGUGGGUACGGGCAGACUAGAGUGCGGUAGGGGAGAUUGGAAUUCCUGGUGUAGCGGUGGAAUGCGCAGAUAUCAGGAGGAACACCAAUGGCGAAGGCAGAUCUCUGGCCGUAACUGACGCUGAGGAGCGAAAGCAUGGGAGCGAACAGG